rnacentral:piRNA from 1 species
UCAUGCUGCUGCCGCACAACCUGGC